rnacentral:rRNA from 1 species
GAUGAACGCUAGCGAGAGGCCUAACACAUGCAAGUCGAGGGGUAACAGGGGAGCUUGCUCCCGCUGACGACCGGCGGAUGGGUGAGUAACGCGUAUGCAACCUGCCUUUAACUGUGGGAUAGCUCCCUGAAAGGGGAAUUAAUACCGCAUAAGACCACGUUGUUUCAUGACAGAGUCGUAAAAUAUUUAUAGGUUAAAGAUGGGCAUGCGUGACAUUAGCUAGUUGGUGAGGUAACGGCUCACCAAAGCUACGAUGUCUAGGGGUUCUGAGAGGAAGGUCCCCCACACUGGUACUGAGACACGGACCAGACUCCUACGGGAGGCAGCAGUGAGGAAUAUUGGUCAAUGGACGGAAGUCUGAACCAGCCAUCUCGCGUGCAGGAUGACUGCCCUACGGGUUGUAAACUGCUUUUUUACGAGAAGAACCAUAAUUACGUGUAAUUAUUUGACAGUAUCGUAUGAAUAAGGAUCGGCUAACUCCGUGCCAGCAGCCGCGGUAAUACGGAGGAUCCAAGCGUUAUCCGGAUUUAUUGGGUUUAAAGGGUACGUAGGCGGACUUAUAAGUCAGUGGUGAAAUUCUGCAGCUUAACUGUAGCAUUGCCAUUGAUACUGUUUGUCUUGAGUAUAGUUGAGGUAGGCGGAAUGUAGUGUGUAGCGGUGAAAUGCAUAGAUAUACUACAGAACACCGAUUGCGAAGGCAGCUUACUAAACUAUCACUGACGCUUAGGUACGAAAGCGUGGGGAUCAAACAGG